UACGUAGGGUGCAAGCGUUGUCCGGAAUUAUUGGGCGUAAAGAGCUCGUAGGCGGUUCGUCGCGUCGGCUGUGAAAACCUGAGGCUCAACCUCAGGCCUGCAGUCGAUACGGGCGGACUUGAGUACUGCAGGGGAGACUGGAAUUCCUGGUGUAGCGGUGAAAUGCGCAGAUAUCAGGCGGAACACCGGUGGCGAAGGCGGGUCUCUGGGCAGUAACUGACGCUGAGGAGCGAAAGCGUGGGGAGCGAGCAGG
rnacentral:rRNA from 1 species